rnacentral:ribozyme from 13 species
CAAACAACUUUCGAUAGAAUCAAAGCAUGAUGAACAAAACAAUAAAGAAGAAUGGAAGAGGAAGCUCAACUUUUUCUUUCUUUUUGUGACUUUUCUCUUUUGAAUAAUUCAUUUCGAUUUGCCUGGCAAAAAAAUGGCGAAAAAAUUAUUGAA